UACCUACAGAAAAUACUUUACAUGCACUUGUAACACCUCUUUGUGUAGUAUUUCCUUUUAAAUUGUUUAAAUGGUCGAUAAUAAACAAUAGGAUGCCGUACAAGUUUGGGAUUCAUUACUGUAUACAAGGAUCAAAAAUAGGCUGUUCAAAAUAGCUAGACUCAUCUAUCAUCUAUUCAAUCCAUUAGCGUAGUCCAACUAUCAUCGUUGCAGAAACUCGAUUAGGUCGCGUGAUACCAGCGCUACUUAAACCUUGAUUUUCUCUUCUAUUAAAUGUGGGACUUGACCUGUGGUCUGAUAAUACGCUCAUUCCAGAACCAGUUCGUGAUGAUGUCCCACUAUUACUCCUUCUUGAGCCUAUAUAUAGGUGGUGCAGGCCCUCUGGUAGAACUAUUCAUAUUCAAUGGAUCAAAUGGUUGACGAUUACUACUAGUAUAACCAGCUCCUCUGACUGCAGUCAUUGGCCUUAGUCCACUAGUAUUAGGACGCACUGGUAUACCAGUACCACUUCUGUGAAACUACAAAUAUUAAAUUGCAUAUUAAAACAAUAUUAUGAAAUACAAUACAAGAUAA